GACGAACGCUGGCGGCGUGCUUAACACAUGCAAGUCGAACGGAAAGGCCCUGCGUUUGUUGGGUGCUCGAGUGGCGAACGGGUGAGUAACACGUGAGUAACCUGCCCUUGACUUUGGGAUAACUUCAGGAAACUGGGGCUAAUACCGGAUAGGAGCUCCUGCUGCAUGGUGGGGGUUGGAAAGUUUCGGCGGUUGGGGGUGGACUCGCGGCUUAUCAGCUUGUUGGUGGGGUAGUGGCUUACCAAGGCUUUGACGGGUAGCCGGACUGAGAGGGUGACAGGCGAAAUUGGGACCGAGGGAAGGCAGAGGUUGGGAAGGGACGGAGAAGGGGGGAAGACUGAAGGAGGGGCGGAGGGUGGAUGCAGAAACGCUGCGUGUGGGAUGACGGUCUUAGGGGUGAAAAACGCAUGUGCAUGUAACGAAGCGUGAGUGACGGUAAUGUAUAAAGAAGGACCGGCUAAACACGUG
rnacentral:rRNA from 1 species